rnacentral:rRNA from 1 species
UACGGAGGGUGCAAGCGUUAUCCGGAUUCACUGGGUUUAAAGGGUGCGUAGGAGGACAGGGAAGUCCGUGGUGAAAUCUCCGAGCUUAACUCGGAAACUGCCGUGGAUACUCUCUGUCUUGAAUCCCCUGGAGGUGAGUGGAAUAUGUCAUGUAGCGGUGAAAUGCUUAGAUAUGACAUAGAACACCAAUUGCGAAGGCAGCUCACUACACAAAUAUUGACGCUGAGGCACGAAAGCGUGGGGAUCAAACAGG